GGCUUUCCCCACCUGGUUAUUCAAGGGGCAGGAGUGUUGUCAGACCCCAGGCCCAGACUGGCACUCUGAGGCAAUGGGGAGGGGUGUGCAGUGCAUGCAUCUGUUGAUGAUACUGAGCUUUUCA